rnacentral:lncRNA from 1 species
AAAAAAAUCAGUGAUGAAAUGAAUACAUUGUGAAGCAUUGCGACUGAUACAUAAAAAUGAGAAAUAAGAAAUAAACCCUGAUACCAACAAACCUCACAAUAAUUUACAAUUCACACACAAUCAUUUCUAAUUCAGUGAUUAUGUGAAACUCUGUUAGUAAAAUCAUUGCCAGCAGUACUGUGCUAACUGUGUGUGUGUGUGUGUGUGUCAUCAGGAGCAUCUGCUGAAGAGUGAGAUCAGUCGUCUGAAGACUCGUCUGUCUCAGCAGGAGCGGAUGUUGAGCAGAGCCGUCAAACACCUCAGAUCCAGCAACCAGCUCAAAGAGGGCAUGGAGCGCGUCAUCAUCGACCAGCUGUCUCUGACUCACGGCGUGCUGAAGAAAGCCAGAGGAAACCUGGAGUCUAACUAUCUGAAUGUUUUUGGGCUGAAGGCUCUGCAGGUGGAAGGACGUCCCACUGAAUGGCCAGUGACCAAUCAGCAGUCGGGGGGCGUGGCCUGUCAGCAGCAUUCAGGCAGAGGCUCAGUCUGCAGUGAAAACUCCUCCCACUGUGGCUGUUAGAAACUUCACUGACUCCAGGUCAGGACUGUUGAGUCCUUACAUCAUGGUUUUCUCUUUUAAUUUGGGUUCUUAAUUUAUUUCUCUUUUUGAGGUACGCUGACACCGUUCAGAAUUAUUUGCACAUAUACAGUGAGCAUUUAACCGUGUAAAAGGGAAUGUUUUUUAAUAGCGGAAGAGAUUUUCUCCUGUAAAUACUUUGAGCUUUAGUUUUAUACUGGUUUUAGACAGUCUCAUGUUAACUGCCGGUCUCCUGUGAUGCUGUAUUAUCCUGCUUAAGAUCUAAUAUUUUGAUGUAAAUGAAUGGUACAUGUACAUUUAAUGAGCGCAUGGUUUAAUGUAGCAGACUGUGUUUAAAGUAAAUGUUUAAACCCUCAUAAAACAGUCUCUCUGCUUUCAUGGUAAACCGGUUUGAAUUAGGCUGGACUAAUCAGCAUUAGAUUUUAUUCAACUACUCAACCUUUACAGCAAGACUUAAGAUAUUUAUAUUGGCAACAUGAGUGGUGAAACUUUAAAAAUCUUAUUUUGGAGGUUGAAUGAAUAAGAAACCUUAUAAAUUUCAUUUACAUACGAUUUAAGUCUUUUAUUAGUAAGCCUAUUAAAUUUGUCUAUGAAAAUUUUUUUAUUGGACAUUUUAAUGG